rnacentral:tRNA from 1 species
GCCGCCGUAGCUCAGCUGGUUAGAGCGCGGGACUGUGGAGGCCCGGCUGAGAGGCCGCGGAGAUCCCGAGGUCCCGGGUUCAAAUCCCGGCGGCGGCC